rnacentral:rRNA from 1 species
GAUGAACGCUGGCGGCGUGCCUAAUACAUGCAAGUCGAGCGAACAGACGAGGAGCUUGCUCCUCUGACGUUAGCGGCGGACGGGUGAGUAACACGUGGAUAACCUACCUAUAAGACUGGGAUAACUUCGGGAAACCGGAGCUAAUACCGGAUAAUAUAUUGAACCGCAUGGUUCAAUAGUGAAAGACGGUUUUGCUGUCACUUAUAGAUGGAUCCGCGCCGCAUUAGCUAGUUGGUAAGGUAACGGCUUACCAAGGCGACGAUGCGUAGCCGACCUGAGAGGGUGGGCGGCCACACUGGAACUGAGACACGGUCCAGACUCCUACGGGAGGCAGCAGUAGGGAAUCUUCCGCAAUGGGCGAAAGCCUGACGGAGCAACGCCGCGUGAGUGAUGAAGGUCUUCGGAUCGUAAAACUCUGUUAUUAGGGAAGAACAAAUGUGUAAGUAACUAUGCACGUCUUGACGGUACCUAAUCAGAAAGCCACGGCUAACUACGUG